CCGACGGUGAGAGACGAAAGCUGGGGGAGCAAACCGGAUUAGAUACCCGGGUAGUCCCAGCCGUAAACGAUGUGCGUUAGGUGUAUCGGUGACCACGAGUCACCGAGGUGCCGAAGAGAAAUCGUGAAACGUACCGCCUGGGAAGUACGGUCGCAAGGCUGAAACUUAAAGGAAUUGGCGGGGGAGCACCACAACAGGUGGAGCCUGCGGUUUAAUCGGACUCAACGCCGGAAAACUCACCAGAUAA
rnacentral:rRNA from 1 species